AGGCAUCAGCUGAGAUUCAUGUCAAGCUACUAGCUGAAUGAAAUCAGAUCAGCUGUGCUUUUUUUACAAUUAUAAAGAGACAUGACUAAGGUAAAGAGGUUUUUCUUUUUUAGAGACUGAAGUAAAGACAGAGUGUUUUAUCCCAGAGUUUUCCUAGGUGGAGUGGUGAUUUCCUUUCCUUUCUGGUGGAUGGAAAUAAGCUCGUGGCACAAAACAUGAUUGCCCUGAAGAGUGAGAGGUCUUCGGACAGCUGCAAUCUGCACUAACAGGUCAACUUGAGCAGAGCUGACAAGAUCUGCAAAAGUCAGCACCUGCAGUUCAUCAAAGGGAACUGACAUUUACGGUACACUUCCAGGAUAUGGAGUUUUAGGAGAACAUCUCCCUAACUGAAGUUAUUGCUUUCCUGCUUUGCAUCCCUGGAGCAAAUGAGGUGGAACCCAAGAGGCUGAGCUACGAGAAGUUCCUU